rnacentral:rRNA from 1 species
AUUGAACGCUGGCGGCAGGCCUACCACAUGCAAGUCGAACGAGUGGCGGACGGGUGUGUAAUGUCUGGGAAACUGCCUGAUGGAGGGGGAUAACUCCUGGAACCGGUAGCUAAUACCGCAUACCAUCAGAUGUGCCCAGAUGGGAUUAGCUAGUUGGUGGGGUAACGGCUCACCAAGGCGACGGUCCCUAGCUGGUCUGAGAGGUUGACCAGCAACACUGGAACUGAGACAUGGUCCAGACUCCGACGUGAGGCAGCAGUGGGGAAUAUUGCAUAUUGGGCGCAAGCCUGAUGCAGCCAUGCCGCGUGUAUGAAGAAGGCCUUCGGGUUGUAAAGUACGUUCAGCGGGGAGGCGUUACCCGCAGAGGAAGCACCGGCUAACUCCGGGCCAGCCGCCGCGGUAAUUC